rnacentral:rRNA from 1 species
AGCAGUCGCCGCGGUAAUACGUAGGGGGCGAGCGUUGUCCGAAGUUACUGGGCGUAAAGCGCGCGUAGGCGGCUACUUAAGUCUGGGGUGAAAGGUUCAGCGCUCAACGCGAACAGUGCCUUGGAUACUGGGUGGCUUGAGUUCGGGAGGGGGUAGUGGAAUUCCUGGUGUAGCGGUGAAAUGCGUAGAUAUCAGGAGGAACAUCGGUGGCGAAGGCGGCUACCUGGCCCAGAACUGACGCUGAGGUGCGAAAGCGUGGGGAGCGAACGGGAUUAGAUACCCGCGUAGUCCCUGUCUCUUAUA